rnacentral:rRNA from 1 species
GAUGAACGCUGGCGGCGUGCCUAACACAUGCAAGUCGAGCGAUUCUCCUCGGAGAAGAGCGGCGGACGGGUGAGUAACGCGUGGGUAACCUGCCCUGUACACACGGAUAACAUACCGAAAGGUAUGCUAAUACGAGAUAAUAUGCUUUUAUCGCAUGGUAGAAGUAUCAAAGCUCCGGCGGUACAGGAUGGACCCGCGUCUGAUUAGCUAGUUGGUAAGGUAACGGCUUACCAAGGCGACGAUCAGUAGCCGACCUGAGAGGGUGAUCGGCCACAUUGGAACUGAGACACGGUCCAAACUCCUACGGGAGGCAGCAGUGGGGAAUAUUGCACAAUGGGCGAAAGCCUGAUGCAGCAACGCCGCGUGAGCGAUGAAGGCCUUCGGGUCGUAAAGCUCUGUCCUCAAGGAAGAUAAUGACG